GUGCGCACGUUCCCUAACUUCCGUGCGAAGGUCACGGCCGCCGCUACACAUGUACAUGUAGCACCUUGUUGGAGAACCAGUCUAACCCACACCAUAGUCUGGUCCCCGUCUGCCACUUUGCCUGAAGUGUUGCAGUUUUCCCAGGAGAUGUUGGAGACCCUGAUGUCUUUAAGAUGUAACAAGCAUUUUCUUUUCAGUCUCCCAUCGGAUGUACACCAAUAGCUGGCCUCAGCCUUGGUAGCUGUGGCCUUGGCCUUGGGGUUAUGGCCUCGGUCUUGGAGGUUGUGGCCAUGACUACAACACUGGUACCACGAGACCCUCGCUCCUGACCGGUGGUGCGCCCAUGGUGUGAUACAGCGCUUGUGGCGUAGACUUCCUCGAUUGAAGUGGAAAAAG